GACGAACGCUGGCGGCGUGCCUAAUACAUGCAAGUAGAACGCUGAAGGAGGAGCUUGCUUCUCUGGAUGAGUUGCGAACGGGUGAGUAACGCGUAGGUAACCUGCCUGGUAGCGGGGGAUAACUAUUGGAAACGAUAGCUAAUACCGCAUAAGAGUAGAUGUUGCAUGACAUUUGCUUAAAAGGUGCAAUUGCAUCACUUCCAGAUGGACCUGCGUUGUAUUAGCUAGUUGGUGGGGUAACGGCUCACCAAGGCGACGAUACAUAGCCGACCUGAGAGGGUGAUCGGCCACACUGGGACUGAGACACGGCCCAGACUCCUACGGGAGGCAGCAGUAGGGAAUCUUCGGCAAUGGACGGAAGUCUGACCGAGCAACGCCGCGUGAGUGAAGAAGGUUUUCGGAUCGUAAAGCUCUGUUGUAAGAGAAGAACGAGUGUGAGAGUGGAAAGUUCACACUGUGACGGUAUCUUACCAGAAAGGGACGGCUAACUACGUG
rnacentral:rRNA from 1 species